UUCCGGUUGAUCCUGCCGGAGGCCACUGCUAUUGGGAUCCGAUUAAGCCAUGCGAGUCGAGAGGGUUCGGCCCUCGGCAGACUGCUCAGUAACACGUGGAUAAUCUACCCUUAGGUGGAGGAUAACCUCGGGAAACUGAGAAUAAUACUCCAUAGAUCUAGGAUGCUGGAAUGCACCUAGAUUAAAAGUUCCGGCGCCUAAGGAUGAGUCUGCGGACUAUCAGGUAGUAGUCAGGGUAAAGACCUGACUAGCCUACGACGGAUACGGGUUGUGAGAGCAAUAGCCCGGAGACGAUAUCUGAGACACGAUAUCGGGCCCUACGGGGCGCAGCAGGCGCGAAAUCUUCACACUGUGCGAAAGCACGAUGAGGGGAUCCCAAGUGCUUGCUCGUUAGAGUAAGCUGUUUCUUUGUCUAAAAAACAGAGAGAGUAAGGGCUGGGUAAGACGGGUGCCAGCCGCCGCGGUAAUACCUGCAGCUCAAGUGGUGGCCGCUAUUAUUGGGCCUAAAACGUCCGUAGCCUGUUUAGUAAAUGCCUGGGUAAAUUGUGUAGCUUAACUAUACGAAUACCGGGUAGACUGCUAGACUUGGGACCGGGAGAGGCUAGAGGUACUCCUAGGGUAGAGGUGAAAUUCUGUAAUCCUAGGGGGACCACCAGUGGCGAAGGCGUCUAGCUAGAACGGGUCUGACGGUGAGGGACGAAGCCCUGGGGCGCGAACCGGAUUAGAUACCCGGGUAGUCCAGGGUGUAAACGCUGCUUGCUUGAUGUUAGUUGGGCUCCGAGCCCAACUAGUGUCGGAGAGAAGUUGUUAAGCAAGCUGCCUGGGAAGUACGGUCGCAAGACUGAAACUUAAAGGAAUUGGCGGGGGAGCACAGCAACGGGUGGAGCGUGCGGUUUAAUUGGAUUCAACGCCGGG
rnacentral:rRNA from 1 species